rnacentral:rRNA from 1 species
UUUGUCCUACGGGACGCAGCAGUGGGGAAUAUUGCACAAUGGGGGAAACCCUGAUGCAGCAACGCCGCGUGAGUGAAGAAGUAUUUCGGUAUGUAAAGCUCUAUCAGCAGGGAAGAAGAUGACGGUACCUGAUUAAGAAGCCCCGGCUAACUACGUGCCAGCAGCCGCGGUAAUACGUAGGGGGCAAGCGUUAUCCGGAUUUACUGGGUGUAAAGGGAGCGCAGACGGCAGUGCAAGUCUGGAGUGAAAGCCCGGGGCUCAACCCCGGAACUGCUCUGGUACCUGU